UGGGGAAUAUUGGACAAUGGGCGCAAGCCUGAUCCAGCCAUGCCGCGUGUGUGAAGAAGGCCUUCGGGUUGUAAAGCACUUUUGUCCGGAAAGAAAGCGAAUCGGCGAAUACCCGGUUUGGAUGACGGUACCGGAAGAAUAAGCACCGGCUAACUUCGUGCCAGCAGCCGCGGUAAUACGAAGGGUGCAAGCGUUACUCGGAAUUACUGGGCGUAAAGAGUGCGUAGGCGGUUUUCUAAGUUCGGUGUGAAAUCUCCCGGCUUAACUGGGAGGGUGCGCCGAAGACCGGGAAGCUGGAGUGUGGGAAAGGCAGGCGGAAUUCCUGGUGUCGCGGUGAAAUGCGUAGAUAUCAGGAGGAACACCGGCGGUGUAGACGGCUUGCUAGACCAUAACUGACGCUGAGGCACGAAAGCGUGGGUAGCAAACA
rnacentral:rRNA from 1 species